ACACAAGUCAUUGACUUCCGUUUGUGUCCUUCGAGGUCCACUCCUUCCCUCCCCUCAAGCGAAUAAAAAGCUGUAAUUCAGACUCAUUCUCCUCACAAAUCUUUCUUUCUUUCUUUCUUUGCCACUCUCACAACUUUUCAUACAUACAAUCCAACAAAUUCCAUCCAGCCUAGCUGCACAAACUGAUCAUUUUGUCUCUGGUUUUCUCUUCAAAUGUGAAAGACUUUGCUUAGAGAAAUGAUGAAUAUGUUCUUCCCUCGACUUCUUCCUCAUUCUCUUUUCUUUGUAGCUUGCUUUGUAACUUUUGCCCUUGGAGCUACUCGAUUGCCAAAUGAUGAAGUGCAAACUUUGGAAAGACAUAGCAAAGACACUGGGGAAGACGGAACUGGGAUUUCAGUGGAGACGCAGAUCCAUGCAGCGGCCAACUUCCAUGGACUGAUCUAAACGCUUACUCCAAAGCAGUCUGAGAAUGCCAUCAGCUGUAAUUGCUCCUCCACUGUCUGCCAUAUUACCGGAAUGUAAACCUCUCUCUCUCUCUCUCUCUCUCUCUCUCUC